GGCGGGCAAGUUUGAGACAUCAGGCAGAACAAUAUCUUCCAAUAUUACAUAAAUGUCAGUGGUGACAGAAUCCCCAUGAAACUUUAUCAUCCUCUUUAGGUCCUUAUCAUUGGAGAUAGUAAUGAGAGUCUUCCUAUUGCCAGGGAGAAAGUACUUGAGAGAAAUAGUAUUGAUGCUACAGUUAAACAUUUCAGCAACUUCCAUCUUAAAGUCAUUAAA
rnacentral:misc_RNA from 1 species